UCCCUGGUCGUCCAGUGGUUAGGACUUUGCGCUCACAGUGCCGAGGGCCUGGGUUCAAUCCCCAGUCAGGGAA